UCACGGUAAUACUUACUUACAGAUUUAUUCAUUCACCUGAAUAUUUAUUUAUUUGUUUAUUUAUUUAUUUAUUGACUCCUGGAUUAUUUAUAUAUUUAUCUAUUGGUUCACCAUAUCAUUUAUGUAUUUAUUCAUGCUCAUGGGAUUAUUUAUUUACUUAUUUAUUGGCUUGCUGUAAUGCUUACUUAUUUAUUUAUUUACUUUCUGUAAUGCUUAUAUCAGUUCCCAGCCAAGGAAGUAACACCAGUUGGAGGCACAAAGCUACAUGCUGGUAUAUGGCUCAUAUCUGGGGAAUUUGUUUGUUGACAAUGUACCAUCUUUGGUACUCCACAUUUGAAUGCACUCCCCCAAAAACGCUGUCAAAACAAAAUUGCAAUUGUCACCUCAACGAGAGUAAAGAAUUUAUGCAAGGGAAGAAUUAGAAGGUUCAUAGCUUAGGAACAUAGAUUCAAGUUGCCUCAUAUCACUGUUCUUGUGUAGGACCAGUUGUCUGAAGCAAAACAAGGUCAUAAAUGGGGAAAAAUCAGGGAGGGAAGUUAUAAUAAAGUGGGAAAAUCUAAAUUCCAAGAAUCAGGUUCUAUUUGAUGACAUUCUUAGAUUUUGAUGUAUUGAAAGCUAGGGUCUUAUUAAGAAUGCAUUUUAAAAGUUUUGAUAGUCAUCAGGAUGUUAUGUUAGAAUUAGAUGUGGUCAAUGAGUCACUUUCAAAGUGGCAAAAAAUAGCUAGCACAAGAUAAAGUCAUUUGUCAUUUGCUAUUAUAGAAUCAUCAAUAGGUAAGCUGCCAUUUUUGUACCUUCUGGAGACAUCAGGUAACAAUUAAAAUUUCAUGACAAAAACCUUUGUAAAAACAAUGGGCUUUUGAUAAUCUGUGGUGACAGAUAGAAACUUUAGAUGAUUUAUGUGUGGAAAGAGAUAAUUAUCUACUAUAUUUAGUUUUAUGAAACCCUGGAUCUUAUUCUUACUUUGCUGCUGGUAUAUGUUUGUCUAUGAAUUGUUAGUUUGCACAUUUAUUCAAUUGUGUUUUUAACCUGGGGAUUAAACUCUAGGGCCUUGAGUACUGUUUCUUGCGUAGUGUUAAAAUGGAUGGGAAAAGGAUCUGUUUGAAUUUUGUUUGCUUGUUUGUGUUUUGGCUUGUUUUUUUUUUUUAUUUUACUUGAUUUUUUUUACUUUUGAAACAUUGUCUUAUUAUAUAACUCAGCCAAACUGGCAUCCAGGUCACAAUAUUCCUGCCUCAGUAUCCUAAGUGUGGGACUACAGACUUGCAUUAAUCCUACUCAUUUGUUUAAUCAUUCACAUUAAUUUUUUUAUUUAUUAUUCUUUCAUUUAUUUAAUUAGUGUGUGUCUGUAUGUGUGUACACAUGUGUGCUUGUGUGUGUGCUUGUGUGCGUGCUUGUGUGCAUGCAUGCAUCAAUGCACAUGGGCUCCAGUGCUUUCUCUAUCCGUGGUGUUCUUGUGGCGAUCAACUUUCAGGACUCAGUUCUUUUUUCAGUUCAUUGUCUGUCAAGCUGUCUCUACUUGAGUUAGUAUAUAAAGCUUAUCACUGAUUCUCAUGCUAGGAUCUCAUGUGGUAAGAUUACUGGGUAUUUUUUUUUAAUUUUAUUUAAUUUAUUUGUGUGUGUGUUUGUGUGUGUAUGAGAGAGAUAGAUACAGAAAGAAUGCAUGAAUGAGCAUUGACGUUUGAACUCAAGAUGUCCUAUAUAUCUCAUUAGAUAACCAUAAACUUAUCCUCCAUACACUCAACAUUGUUUUUCGUGGUGUUAAUUUAGCCCAGGAUCUUGUUCUUGUGAAACAAUUGCUCUGUUACUGAAACAUACCUGUAAACCAUAAGUUACUUUCGAAAUCAGGCCCCUCAAACUCACUGUCUUUCCUACCACUUCAGUACCUGGUAACUACCUACCACGUUCCAUUUUUUACAUAAUUUUUGGUAAAUACCUUUUAGAGGACCUUGGCUGGAUUUAUGAUGAGAUAUGUUUACUGAGCAUGAUGAAAUGAGGCUCAAUGAUUACUCUGAAGUCUAGCCAAAGUGUCAUAUUAAUGACUUAGGUAACAAAAUUUUGAAACUUAAGUUAUUAGAAUAUGAUAUCACAAAUUUUUUUCAAGGAGACUUGAGCUGUAGAUUUUUCCAAUAUAGCAAAAUUGGUUUUAUACUCGUUACAUUUCCUUUUGUAAAGUGCCUCUAUGUUCACAUCACAUAAUAGCAUUCACCUUGAUUUUCAUUUGAUAAAGAAACUUGAGAAAGACCUUGGAAGCUAAUGUGUCUUUUUCCAGUUACCCAGUUCUUACCCUGGGUUAUAGUUUCUUGAGCAUGUUCCUAGUCAUUCUGAUAGCUUUUCCAUUUAAUAUAUUGAGGUAUUGCUAGAUUGUUAGUAAGACAUUCAGUGAUUUUGAAAAAGAUAGGAAUUUGAUAUUUACCAGAAUGCUGAGAUGGAAUUCAGAGAGGUUAAUUUAUCUUUAUCCUCACAAGGCAUUGGUGGAAUAGAGAAAGUGUUACUAUGAUAUAAACGGGGAGGUGAAUUAACUUUGUGAUUGCUGAUACUGAGUGUGAGUAAUUAUUAAAUUGUUUAAUUUUUGGCAGCAAGAGAACUUAUUCCCUAUUUGGGAUACUUGUUUUGGCAGCGUCUGGAUAAUUAUCUAUAUACCAGUUUGGUUUUGUUCCUCUGACAUGCCUCCUUGAGCGUUUCUUUGUGUAAUAUCAGCUACUGAUAUAGUGUUUUCUUAAUGUGGGAUAUUCUCCUGCCUUUGUAAGAUUUACCUCUGAAUCUUUGCAUAUCUGCUUGUAUAUACAACAAGUAGAUUUAUGUUCUCAUACAAUUGUAAAUCAUCUCUAAAUCUUGAGGUUCUGAUAACUUUUAUAAAUGAUACAAUAUUACUUUAAGUAUAUACUAGCUGAUUUGCAUAAUUUAGUUAACAAAGAAAUGUAAGAUGGUUCUUGAUUAAACAAAGUAUUGUAUUUUCAUGGUUCAGAGUAAAAUCAGAAAAUAAUUGUAUUUAUUUUUUGGUUUAUUUUGUAAAAAUCACUUAGAUUUUGAACAAGAAUAUGGUAUGUGAAAUGAUUGCUGUGAUAAAAUAAGUAACCACAAGAGAAAUUUCUAUUACAUAUUUGGUAAAAAUCAUCAUUUCAUAAAGAUUAUGGCAAGCAAGUUAAUGUUAUAUUCAUGUUUUAAGUUGCUAAGGAUAAUGUGAAACAAGGGGCUAUAAAAAGUGUAUAAAAUAUAAAUUGCAAAAAGUCAUUAUUUUCACUACAUUUGAGAAGUCAUUCAAAUAUGAUUGUCAUUUUCUUUAUGAGGAUUACAAUUGUGGUGUUUGUUAAAAUAUAGAAGAAAUGUUUUUAAAUAGUUUCAUAAUAAAAGUAGAAUUUCUAUAGUAUAGUACAAUCUUUUAUUGGAUUAUUGUGGCUAUCCUUUCAUUGAGUACUUAUUUAUAUAUGUUAGUCAUGGUUAUGUUUGUCAAAGAAGCUUAUGUUUAUUUACUUAACAAAUUUCUUUGUCAUGAUGGAAUUCAGAAAAACAUCACCCUGUUAUAUCUAGGAUUGAAUAUUCUUUUACAUUGAAAUGUGUAUAAUAGAAUAAUGCACCAUGUUAAUUUAAUCUUAUAAAGAAAAGUGAUGAUUUUUGCAUUUGAAGAUCAUUAAAUUACUAGAAUUAUUUUAUUGCUUGUUCAGGAAAUUCUAGACUGUUUUUAUGCCAUGUUAAAAAGGAUUCAGUAGAUAAGAGGGUACCAUUGAGAGAGAUGAUUUUUACAUGGCUAUAUCCCUAUGAGAAAUUAUUAGGUAUGUUUUGUGGAUGAAUCUGAUGCCAAGGAAUACUUGUCCUUUAUGAUAGGAAAGUUGUCUGUGAACAAAAGUCUAGUGACCCUAUGUUAUUAGUCCCCAAGUAUCAUCAUUAUUUCAAAGACAUAGUACAUAUUAUAUUCUUUAACAUUUGUGUCAUAUCCAUAUAACUAACAUCAUUUACAGCAUUUUCUUACAUGAUAUAAAUAAAAUGUACAUUUUUUGCUGUUUUAAAUUUUUAGUCUUUGAUGUAAGUAUGAUUGUCCCAUAUUACAUGUAUGUACAUGCAAUAUGAUAUACAUAUUAAUUCAUGAGUAUGUCUAUACUAAGAUAAAACAAUAGUUGCUGAAAUACAAGAUUACAAUUUUUUUUGUCACCAGAGAAUAUGAUACAGCAAUGUUUUGCUGUAUCAUACUUUGGAUUUAUAAAAUUAGUCAGUUACAUUCAACAAACACCAGAUUUCUGUCAGUGAAUCUUCCAUGGUUCCAUUUAUCAGUCAUGUUUUUGGAACUGAAUCUUUUAUUGUCAGAAAAGUAAGCUACAUAAUAAGAUUUGAUCCCCCUUCCCUCUGUUUAAAUAUUUGUGAGGACUGUAACAGUUGUUCUAAGUAAUGCAUAUUGUGCAGACUUUUUAUCCAAUCUAAUUCUCAACUUGUUUCUACUAGUAUCUCUUCAUUUUUUAAAAUGUAACCUGGCAGUGUUUGACUACCCCAGAAAUAAUAGACUGACUUUGUGUAGACUGUCUGAAAUUCCUACAUUUGUAGAAACACCAACUCCCAUCAACUACCAUAUACACAUGGUGUUAAUAAUAAGAUUUAAUCAUUAGAACUAUCAAUAUCAAUUUUGUAUUUAAUUUAUAUGAGGUUUAUUUGAACCACUUCAUAUAUAUACGACUACUUUUGACUAUCUGCAUAAUUUGUGAUUACAUUUUCUGAAUAUAUUUUACUUUCAAAAUUUAGAAUAAGUGCUUUUGUGUGAUAAAAUGUUUUAAAACUCUGUUUCAAAUGUAUGUAGCUACAUUAUUUUAAAAACUUCAUGAGUAGAGAAUAACUUUUCUUUAUGGAAAGUUAUAUUUAAACAUUUGUCCUGUAAUAGUUCAGAUUUUCAAUGUAUAGACUAUAGGAAAAGAAUAAAUUAUUUUUGUUGUUAAAAUCCUUAUCUUUAUGUAGGUUUCAUUGUGUUGUAUGCUAAAGCUGUAUUACCUGAACAUAGUGUUAGCAAAGUCCUCUUUUAAUAUAUAUAGUACAAAAAUAUAUGUGUGUAUAUUCUACCAUGUUGUCAAGAAAAUUAUUUAGGAGUAUAACUCAAAUAUAAGCAUAAAAUAUCACUGUCCUUUGAAAAAUGUGUAUGCUAUAUAAAAGGCAUGUAGCUUCAUUUUAUUUUUCUGAUCACUGAGAAUUGUGAUGCAAUUUAUUUCUCCAAAUGAUCUAGAUAUUUCAGAAUUACAUAGUUCUGUAUUCAUCAGAUACAUGGCAAGAAUUAACGUUGUAAGUAAUAAGCUAUUUUUUAUAUCAAGCAACUGGUAAUUCUAGAGAUACUGAGACUUAGAAAUUAUAAGCUUAUAAAUAUAUUGUAAAUACUGUUGUCUAUUACAAUUAAUAUGACAAACUGAUAGUUUAUAGAGGGAAUCAUGGAGCUCACAGUUUUUCAUGUUUGUUUGAAUGUUAAAGGAGAAAUUAUAAACACUAUGCAUAUACUCUAUUCUCAUACUAGGAUAGUUGACCAUUUUUUCAUGUGAGUUGCACAUUAAAAAAUGACAUGGUAGGUAAUUCAGUUGGCUUCUUGAGCAAUAAUGAGCCUACUGAUGCACCUCUUUUCUACUUUUUUUUUGUCAACUUUCAUGAAGAUUUUGUACUACCUCUUGGGACACUACAAAGUUUUGUAUGUGUUUCCUGGUUGCAUGACAAUAUUCAAGACAACUUUGUAAAUAAUAGUCAAAUACAAAAUUUUAACAUCUAGUCUUUCUAGAUGUAUAGAGUGUCACAGGGUAUAAUUUUGUAAAUACAUCAUUGUAAACUUUCAUUGCAUCCACUAAAUUUCGGGAAUGAAAUUUUUAAAGUUGAGAUUUUUUCUACUUUAUGUUUAUUGUUAGGGGGGUGAGUUUUCUUGAGAAUAUUUAAAUUUAACUUUGGCUACAUAAUCUCAAGAAAAGUCUUCAUUAACCAUAGGAUAAGUAAGGUUUAUAUUGUACAUUUAAGAGUGCAAAUUAUAAUUCUGUGGUUGUAUUAAUGAUAGGCCAUCAUGUUAAAAUACCUUGUUAAUUACUAUAGAUAAAUACUCUUAAGAAGAGUUACUUCUACCUCUGAAUUAAUAAACCCUUAUAUUUACAUUGCAUGACAGCAUUCAAGACAUGUUGUAAAUAACUGAUAAAUAUUUCCAUUUGAAAAAUUCCUUUUUUAGAUAUACAUUCUUAACAAAAUAUAAGCCUGUGAAUAUUUCACUGUAAUCUAACAUUAAUAAAAUUAUUCCAGCAAAUGCUUUUUCAAUGCAAUAGAUAAGGACUACUCAGUUUACUAAGUAUAAAAAGGUUUCUAAGUAGUUUCUCAUGGAGGGAAGAAUAAGCUAGGUCUUAUUUUUACUUGGAGAAAAAUUAAAGAAUAGAAUUAGAUACUUUUUAUCUACAUGAAGAAAGAUGAGCAGUAAAAAAGAAUUAAAAUUAAUGAUAUAAUUACAAAAGCAUUGUUUCUUGCUUAUUUAAUCUAGGCAAAUUUGUUUAUAUCUAUAAUUAUAUUACAUUCACAUACAUUUUAUGUUAUAGUAGUAUAUAAACUACUUAGUUUUCAUCUUUCAUGUGUUUUUGUUUGUUUUUACAUUACUAUUCCCACUCUACAAAUUAAAAAUUAAUAUUUUAGUUCUAAUUCAGAUUAUUUAGCAAUCUCAAUGCUAUUGAUAGACACAUUUUGUGUUGAUGAAGAGCCUAUAACUUUGUUUGUUUGUUUAUACAUCUUAUAAAUUUAUUUAUGUAUGUAUAUAUCUUCAGUGUAUAAUAUUUUAAAAACAUGUUUUAUUUUUGUAUAAUUUUCAUGUAGGAUUAUUAAAGGUAAACAUCUGGUGUUCCCUCUAAUGUACUGUAAGCAAAAGUAGCUUGUAUGACAUUAAAGGCAAUAUAAAUUAUAGAGCUGGGCUUGAUGAGGAACACUUAUACCAGCACCUGCCAAGAUUAUACUCGGCUACAUACCCAGUUUGAGGCCAGUCAUGGGUCAUAAGACCCUGUGUCAGAAGAAAACAUGAAAGCCAAAAAAAACCCACUGAAUACCUUCCUACAAAAUCAGGAAUUAUAAGACUAUUUAAUUUUUUUUUUGAUAUUUUGGAGUUGGCUACUAAGAUUUUUAUCAUUUCUGAUUCUCAAAUUUAAUUGUUGAAUAUAAAAAUAGUAAAAUGCCAGAUCUGUCAGUGAACAGAUCAUAAGGAUUAUAGCUUAAUGUGAAUGUAAUUUAGUAUUUGAAAUAUCCUUUUUCUAUAGAAAUGGUGUUUGUUGAAUUUUAAUUGAAGGUAUGUACAAUUGACCUACAUGUAGAUACAUUUUAGUUCUUCCAAUUAAAGUGGAUAAUUAUGGAAAUGUUAAUUGCAAAUAGGAAAUAUCAGUCUGAAAGUUAAUACUUCUGUAUUAUGAUGUAUGUUAUUUUCUAGUAAUGAUUGAAGAUUUAUUCAAGUGAUUUAAACAGUGUAUUCAUGCUUGGAAAUUGUCACAUGAGAACAUCUAGUACAAAUGAACAAUUUAUGCAAACAGAAAACAUGUUCAGGAAGAAUGUUUUAAUACUUCAAAAUAGAAAGGAGUAAGACCACUUCUAUCUGCCUUUGUAUUUUAGAAGGGCCUUUGCAAAUAAGCAACUAAACAACAAAAAAGAGACAAUUUAUGCCUGUACCUUUGAUUGUCAACAUCAUGGGAGUGAUGGGUUGCCAUAUCCAACUUUCUAUUCCUAGCAGCCCUUAUGAAUGGUUUUUGCACAUUUUUGUGAAGAAUUUUAGACACUCCAGCACCUUAUGUGUCAACAAUGAGUUUCAUUAUCCAAUAAUAAAAAGGAGAAGAUGAAAGUUCACGUAAUUAUGAUGACAGACUUAUUAAACCUACUGUGAUAGCAACUUCUGGAGUCUACGAAAAUUUACUUUACUAAAGUGAACAACAAACUAUAGGUGAUCACCAAAAUAGAUAAUCAUUGUAUCUACAACCUUCAUAAUUGUAAAAAGAUCUCAGAAGGUGUUGCGUGACUAAUCUUAUUGAUCAUUAAAACUGAACUCAACUUAUUGGAUGGAGACUGAAAUAUGUCUUUGAAGAAAAUAUUUUAUAUAUAUUUAAAGAUUUUCAUUGAUUUUGUUGGACUAACUCAAUAAAUGGAGACACUACCACAUGGAUAAAAAUAGUAUGAUGGAACUGACAUUGCCUUCACAGUGUUUUCAUAAGUACGAAGUGCUUCUCAUGAUAAUAACGACUUCAUGGUAUUCUUGAAGCUGAUUUGAAAGUAUUACCUGUAUGUAGUCAAAUUUUUCCUCAGAGUUGAUGCUUACAAUUAUUUGUCAAGUUGGAAAAAAUGCACUUUUAAUUUCAUUUGCACCACAUUUAAUAGAUUAAGUAGGAGAGAAUAGAUUUCUUUAAAAUUGAGUCUUCCUAUACAACCUCAAGACAAAAAAGAGGAAAUGUGAUGAUGUAUUGUGUCUGCAAUAUAUUGUGAACCCUAAUCAAGUUAAUCUGAUGAUUGGAGGAGAAAGCCAGCUACUAAAGAAAACAUAGAAGUCAUGCAAUAAUAGCACAUGCCUUUAAUCCUAUCACUCGGGAGGCAGAUCCAUCUGAAUCUCUGUGAUUUCAAGACUACACUGGGAACAGAGCCAGGCAUGUAUGCAGGUGCCUGAGGAGUAGAGAAGAUUAUAUUGGAUCCUACUGGAGCUUCGGUUGUGAGCUUCCCAACAUGGGUGCAAGGAACCAAACUUGGGUCUUCUAGAAGGAGGAUUCUGGGAUUACAAUCACGUAUCACAGCACCAGGUUUAUGAGGUUCUGGGGCUCAAACUCAUAGAUUCCUGAAGGCUGGAUAACUACUCUACCAAUUGAAAUACUACACCCAAACCAAAGGAAUAGUGUUGCACAACUCUAGUCCUAGCUACUCAAGACUUAAUACAGGAAGAUUGAAAGUUUGAGGUCAGCUUGGCAACAGUGAGACCUCUUCUCCGCAUCUCAACAACAAAAAAGGUGGUGGCCAAAUAUACCUUCUGAAGAGGUUUUAUCAUCAGAAUUUCCCUAAUACACUUAUUGUAUUUACUGUUUCUGGAGUCUUAUUCAACCCUUAUCAUCUCACAACUUGUAUAGAAGACUUCAGUGGAAUAUAAAAGACCUGGUUUUGGCAAGUAAUUGACUGGGACGUUCAGUACUUCUGCUUUCAGUAUAUCUUGUACUCACAUAUUGUAUGUUACCUCUUUUCUUAUUCAUAUUUUACUUUUUAAAUGGAAGAGACUUUUAUGUGUAGGUAGUACAAUUAUUGUACACAGAUAUUUUUAUGAUACUUCAGAUAAUAAGAAGGUUUUCUGACUAAUUGACUUUCCCUGUAUACCAGUUUUGUUAUCAUUUGUGAGAUGGUUUCAUCCUCCUUUAAACAAGAAACUCAAAUUUCAGGCAAUCCUCAGAGAAGAUCAUCUUCCACAGUCGUAUUCUCUAGGGAAGACCCUCCUCUGGUUUCUGUUUUAUUGGUAUUACUGGCCUCUGUUUGGGCCAGGAAAGUGAGUCUCUGUGGUUUAUCUUUUCUCCAAUACCU